rnacentral:rRNA from 1 species
UCAGUACACGUAGUCAACAUGCCCAGGGACGUGGAUAACCUCGGGAAACUGAGGAUAAACCGCGAUAGGUCAUUACUUCUGGAAUUGGGUACUGACUUAAAUCUAUAUGGCCCCUGGAUUGGACUGCGGCCGAUCAGGCUGUUGGUGAGGUAAUGGCCCACCAAACCUGUAACCGGUACGGGCUCUGAGAGGAGGAGCCCGGAGAUGGGCACUGAGACAAGGGCCCAGGCCCUAUGGGGCGCAGCAGGCGCGAAACCUCUGCAAUAGGCGAAAGCUUGACAGGGUUACUCUGAGUGAUUUCCGUUAAGGAAAUCUUUUGGCACUUCUAAAAAUGGUGCAGAAUAAGGGGUGGGCAAGUCUGGUGCCAGCC